rnacentral:misc_RNA from 1 species
UCUCCGUUGGUGAACCAGCGGAGGGAUCAUUAUAGAGUUAUAAAACUCCCAACCCAUGUGAACUUACCACUGUUGCCUCGGCGGGUAGUUACCUUGUAGCACUUGCCUACCCUGUAACCGCCCGCCGGUGGAUUUUUAAACUAUUGUUAUUUCGUGUCAUCUGAGCGUCUUAUUUUAAAUAAGUCAAAACUUUCAACAACGGAUCUCUUGGUUCUGGCAUCGAUGAAGAACGCAGC